rnacentral:rRNA from 1 species
GGGUCAGUAGGUUGGUCGUGCCACCGGUACGUACUGGUCUCAAGGAUUCCUCCUUCCUGAAGAACCGUGAUGCCAUUAAUUUGGUGUUGCGGGGAAACAGGACUGUUACUUUGAAAAAAUUAGAGUGUUUAAAGCAAGCUAACGCUUGAAUACAUUAGCAUGGAAUAAUGAAAUAGGACGAUCGAUCCUAUUUUGUUGGUUUCUAGGAUUGACGUA